rnacentral:lncRNA from 13 species
UGGAUCACUAGGUCAAGAGAUCGAGACCAUCCUGGUCAACAUGGUGAAAUCCCGUCUCUACUAAAAAUACAAAAAAUUAGCUGGGCACGGUGGCGCGUGCCUGUAAUCCCAGCUACUCAGGAGGCUGAGGCAGGAGAAUUGCCUGAACCCAGGAGGCAGAGGUUGCAGUGAGCCGAGAUUGCGCCAUUGCACUCCAGCCUGGGUAACAAGAGUGAAACUCCGUCUCAAAAAAAAAAAAAAAAAAAAAAAAAAAAAAAAAAAAAAAAAAAAAAAAAAAAAAAAAA